rnacentral:rRNA from 1 species
ACGAACGCUGGCGGCGUGCCUAAUACAUGCAAGUAGAACGCUGAAGAGAGGAGCUUGCUCUUCUUGGAUGAGUUGCGAACGGGUGAGUAACGCGUAGGUAACCUGCCUUGUAGCGGGGGAUAACUAUUGGAAACGAUAGCUAAUACCGCAUAACAAUGGAUGACACAUGUCAUUUAUUUGAAAGGGGCAAUUGCUCCACUACAAGAUGGACCUGCGUUGUAUUAGCUAGUAGGUGAGGUAACGGCUCACCUAGGCGACGCUACAUAGCCGACCUGAGAGGGUGAUCGGCCACACUGGGACUGAGACACGGCCCAGACUCCUACGGGAGGCAGCAGUAGGGAAUCUUCGGCAAUGGGGGCAACCCUGACCGAGCAACGCCGCGUGAGUGAAGAAGGUUUUCGGAUCGUAAAGCUCUGUUGUAAGUCAAGAACGAGUGUGAGAGUGGAAAGUUCACACUGUGACGGUAGCUUACCAGAAAGGGACGGCUAACUACGUG